rnacentral:rRNA from 1 species
GACGAACGCUGGCGGCGUGCUUAACACAUGCAAGUCGAACGAUGAAGCCGGAGCUUGCUCUGGUGAAUUAGUGGCGAACGGGUGAGUAACACGUGAGUAACCUGCCCUUGACUCUGGGAUAACUGCGGGAAACUGUAGCUAAUACCGGAUACGACCCUCGGAGGCAUCUCCUGGGGGUGGAAAGAAUUUCGGUCAAGGAUGGACUCGCGGCCUAUCAGCUAGUUGGUGGGGUAAAGGCUCACCCAGGCGACGGCGGGCAGCCGGCCUGAGAAGUGAGACGGCCACACUGGGACUGCGACACGGCCCAGACUCCUCCGGUAGGGCGCAGUGGGGAGGAUUGCCCGAUGGGCGCAGGCCUCAUGCAGCAACUCCGCGUGGGGCAUGAGGGCAUUCGGGUUGUAAACCUCUUUUAGUAGGGAAGAAGCGAAAGUGACGGUACCUGCAGAAAAAGCAGCGGCUAACUACGUGCCAGCCGCCGCCGUAA